rnacentral:rRNA from 1 species
UGGGGAAUUUUGGACAAUGGGCGAAAGCCUGAUCCAGCAAUGCCGCGUGUGUGAAGAAGGCCUUCGGGUUGUAAAGCACUUUUGUCCGGAAAGAAAUCCUUGGCUCUAAUACAGUCGGGGAUGACGGUACCGGAAGAAUAAGCACCGGCUAACUACGUGCCAGCAGCCGCGGUAAUACGUAGGGUGCAAGCGUUAAUCGGAAUUACUGGGCGUAAAGCGUGCGCAGGCGGUUUGCUAAGGCCGAUGUGAAAUCCCCGGGCUCAACCUGGGAACUGCAUUGGUGACUGGCAGGCUAGAGUAUGGCAGAGGGGGGUAGAAUUCCACGUGUAGCAGUGAAAUGCGUAGAGAUGUGGAGGAAUACCGAUGGCGAAGGCAGCCCCCUGGGCCAAUACUGACGCUCAUGCACGAAAGCGUGGGGAGCAAACAGGAUUAGAUACCCUGGUAGUCCACGCCCUAAACGAUGUCAACUAGUUGUUGGGGAUUCAUUUCCUUAGUAACGUAGCUAACGCGUGAAGUUGACCGCCUGGGGAGUACGGUCGCAAGAUUAAAACUC